AUGCAUCGUCUUCUCCGCCGCACCCGCUCGGCCGACUUCGACGCGCCGGCGUCCACUCCGUUUGCCGCCGUUCCCGUCGCCACGGCCGCUACUGCUGCGGUUGCACCUCCUCAGGCAGCUCCCGCUGCUACGGUCACCACCACCCCGGCUGCACCCGCGCCCCGCCGUGCGCACCUCGGCGACCUGGGCAAGACGCCAGUCCCUGGAGGCGUUGCGGCUCCUUCCUCGUCCACCUCGGCGCCCCGUGCGGCGCCCUCUGCCCAGCCAGCCACCGGCGUCCUGCGCACCGCCGGCAGCACCCCUGUCCCGCGUCUCACGCUGGGCGGCCCCGGCAGCGCCGUCGUCACACACCUCGGCCCGGGGCGCACCGACGCCGGUCCUUCCUCAACUGCCGGCCUCCCGCCCUCCAUCGCCCACUACUUCACCAGCAAGCUUCACCUCGAGUCCGGUAACUACUCGCGCUGGCAUCAAUUCUUUUACAUCAUCGCUUGCAAACAUGAGGUUCAGCAUCAUCUCGACGCCGCCACCGACCCGCUCGGCCAGAGCGCCGUGUGGCGCAACGACGACCUGUCCGUGGUGUUGUGGAUGCACGGCGUUGUCGCCGAGGAGCUCCUGGACGUCGUGGCGUCCCCGGACAGCACCGCCUACGACAUCUGGUCCCAGCUCCACGUCCUCUUCAUGGACAAUCAGCCGGGCCGCGCCGUCGUCCUCGGCGCCGAGUUCCGGAACCUCGUCCAGGGCGACCUCUCCGUCGACGAAUACAGCAGGAGGCUCAAGUCCCUGGCCGACGCUCUCGAGGACGUCGGCGAGCACAUCUCCGAUCAGGCCCUCACGCUCCAGCUCAUCUGCGGCCUCAACCGCAAGUUUCAGAUCAUGGCGACGCUCCUCCCGAUGCAGUCGUCGUUCCCCUCCUUCGUGCAGGCCCGCUCUAGUCUCCUCAUGGAGGAGAUCUCUGCCAACGAGCGGGCUAGGCUGGACGGCCGUCCGGAACUCCCCGCCGCUGCACUCACCAUCGGGCACACCCCGAGUGGCGGCCCCUCUCCCUCCCCUGAUCGCGGAUCAGGCAGCGACUCCGCCAACAAGAGCAAGGGCCCCGCUGCAUCUUCCCCGGGCGACAGGGGCAGUGGCUCGCGCAGGCGUGGGCGCGGUCGUGGCCGUGGCCGCGGCGCCCAGUCAUCUGGUGGCGCUCCCGCUGGACGCAGCGCCGCUCCAGCAGGGCCGCAUCCCCCGACUGGCUUCUUCGCUCCAUACAGCGCCCUCCUCCCCGGCCUACCUGCACCACGGGCCCCUUGGGCUGCGCCGAACGCCGCCGGCGUCCUAGGCCCACGUCCUCCUGCACCGCAUCAGGCCUACCCCCUGCACUCGACGCCUUCGAGCAGGCCUACCUGGGAGCAGUAG
rnacentral:rRNA from 1 species